AGUGAACGCUGGCGGUAGGCCUAACACAUGCAAGUCGAACGGCAGCACAGUAAGAGCUUGCUCUUACGGGUGGCGAGUGGCAGACGGGUGAGGAAUACAUCGGAAUCUACUUUUUCGUGGGGGAUAACGUAGGGAAACUUACGCUAAUACCGCACACGACCUACGGGUGAAAGCAGGGGAUCUUCGGACCUUGCGCGAUUGAAUGAGCCGAUGUCGGAUUAGCUAGUUGGGGGGGUAAAGGCCCACCAAGGCGACGAUCCGUAGCUGGUCUGAGAGGAUGAUCAGCCACCUUGGAACUGGGACACGGUCCAGACUACUGCGGGGGGGAGCAGUGGGGAAUGGGGGACAGUGGGCGCAAGCAUGAUCCAGCCGUACCGCGUGGGUGAAGAAGGCCUUCGGGUUGUAAAGCCCGUUUGUUGGGAAAGAAAAGCAGCAGGUUAAUACGAAGCUGUUGUGACGGUACCGAAAGAAUAAGCACCGGCUAACUACGUG
rnacentral:rRNA from 1 species